rnacentral:rRNA from 1 species
UACGGAGGGUGCAAACGUUGCUCGGAAUCAUUGGGCGUAAAGCGCACGUAGGUGGCCUGUUAAGUCGGGUGUGAAAUCCCUGGGCUCAACCCAGGAAGUGCACUCGAAACUGGCAGGCUUGAGUACUGAAGAGGGUCGCGGAAUUCCCGGUGUAGAGGUGAAAUUCGUAGAUAUCGGGAGGAACACCAGUGGCGAAGGCGGCAUCCUGGACCAAUACUGACGCUGAGGAGCGAAAGCCAGGGGAGCAAACGGG